rnacentral:rRNA from 1 species
AUUGAACGCUGGCGGCAUGCCUUACACAUGCAAGUCGAACGGCAGCACGGGGCAACCUGGUGGCGAGUGGCGAACGGGUGAGUAAUGCAUCGGAACGUACCUUUCAGUGGGGGAUAACGUAGCGAAAGUUACGCUAAUACCGCAUAUCCUGUGAGCAGGAAAGCAGGGGAUCGCAAGACCUUGCGCUGAUUGAGCGGCCGAUGUCAGAUAAGCUAGUGGGUGAGGUAAAGGCUAACCAAGGCGACGAUCUGUAGCGGGUCUGAGAGGAUGAUCCGCCACACUGGAACUGAGACACGGUCCAGACUCCUACGGGAGGCAGCAGUGGGGAAUUUUGGACAAUGGGGGCAACCCUGAUCCAGCCAUGCCGCGUGAGUGAAGAAGGCCUUCGGGUUGUAAAGCUCUUUCGGCCGGGAAGAAAUCGCACGGGCUAAUACCCUGUGUGGAUGACGGUACCGGAAUAAGAAGCACCGGCUAACUACGUGCCAGCCGCCGCCGUAAUAC